GGGGAUGUAAUUCAGUGGUAGAGCACUUGCUCUAACCCAUGCUCGAGGCUCUGGGUUCAAUCCCCAGAACUCCA
rnacentral:tRNA from 1 species